rnacentral:rRNA from 2 species
AGGUGCGAUCAUACCAGCAAUAACGCACCGGAUCCCAUCAGAACUCCGCAGUGAAGCGUGCUACGGCGAGAGUAGUAUUAGGAUGGGUGACCUCCUGGGAAGUCCUCGUGUUGCACCUC